rnacentral:rRNA from 1 species
GACGAACGCUGGCGGCGUGCUUAACACAUGCAAGUCGAACGAUGAAGCGGGUGCUUGCCCUCGUGGAUUAUUGGCGCACGGGCGAGUAACACGUGAGUAACCUGUCCUUUUCUUUGGGAUAACGGCUGGAAACGGCUGCUAAUACACGAUAUUCUGGCUGCAUCGCCUGGGUUGGUUUGGGAAGGUCUUUUUUGGGGUCGGGUGGGCUCGCGGCCUAUCAGCUUGUUGGUGGGGUUAUGGCUUACCAAGGCUUUGACGGGUAUCCGGCCUGAGAGGGUGGUCGGUCGCACUGAGACGGAGAUGCGGCCCAGAGUACUCCGGGGGGCAGCAGUGGGGAAUAUUGGACAAUGGACGAAAGUUUGAUGCAGCGAGGCCGCGUGGAGGGUGUAGGUCUUCGGGUUGUGAACUCCUGUUUGUAGCGAAAAAGGCACAGUUUUGGCUGUGUUGAUGGUAGUGGGGGAAGAAGCGCCGGCUAACUACGUG